AUAUUGUGUGUAAAUAAUAAUCGAAAACGUUUGUGAAACCUUGCGACGUACGCGGCGAUUUGAAAUUUUUCGAAAAACAAUAAGAAUUCCGAUUGUGAAAAUGUGUUUUUUACAAUAAUUCGAUAUCACGGCCGACCGCUUCGGAUUUCGGACUUUUUGAAUUCCUAAUUUUACCAACAUAAAACGUGCGGUUUUUUUUUCCAGCUCCUUCCGCGCAAAGGUUAUAGACCCCGAGGACGCUCCGCCAGAGCGACUGGCUUAUGUUCAACUAUAUAUUGUAUGUUGUAUACAUAUAGGUAUCGACAAUAUGGAAAUAACUUUGCGGUAUUUCGUCAUGACCACGAUUACCUCUUUGAUCAUAUAUAUAUACGGAUCAAAGGAAUAUAGCGUUUAUUUGUCUGCGCACGAUCAACGGACGAAUCUAUAUCGCACACGCAGAGGUUUGGACAUUUGCAUAUCACAUAUAGAGAAAAUCGGAAGCAUUUCGGAGCACGCAGGGUUUUCGAAAUGAAAUCCAUUAACCAGGGGUUCUCAACAUUUUUUGCUGAUUCAACUACUCAAGUCACCCUUAUCCACGACAAUCCAACACUACCAUUAAAAUAAUAUACAUGAUGUCAAACAAUAAAAACUUUAGAUUUAAAAAAGAAAGAAGAAUGAUCAUUUAAUAAAAAAAAAAACAACACGCAAAAAAAUAAUAAACACAUUCGAAUCAGUAGAAAUGGAUUAAAAAUAGGGAGUUUGUGGUAAGCCCGUUUAGCGUACACAAUUUUAGUAGCAGCAGCGGUAUUGUUGAAUGGUUGGAAAGAAUUAUAUUAGGUUGUUCCGGU